GUGAGUAAUAUAUCGGAGGGCCCUAGAGUGGGGGAUAACGUAGCGAAAGUUACGCUAAUACCGCAUACGAUCUAAGGAUGAAAGUGGGGGAUCGCAAGACCUCAUGCUCGUGGAGCGGCCGAUAUCUGAUUAGCUAGUUGGUAGGGUAAAAGCCUACCAAGGCAUCGAUCAGUAGCUGGUCUGAGAGGACGACCAGCCACACUGGAACUGAGACACGGUCCAGACUCCUACGGGAGGCAGCAGUGGGGAAUUUUGGACAAUGGGCGAAAGCCUGAUCCAGCAAUGCCGCGUGAGUGAAGAAGGCCUUCGGGUUGUAAAGCUCUUUUGUCAGGGAAGAAACGGUGAGAGCUAAUAUCUCUUGCUAAUGACGGUACCUGAAGAAUAAGCACCGGCUAACUACGUGCCAGCAGCCGCGGUAAUACGUAG
rnacentral:rRNA from 1 species